AAGAAGCCGAACAUUACAACUGCAAACACAUUUCAAGUUCUCCGGUUUUGAGAAAACUUCCUAGGGUUUUAAUUCAUCGUUUCUCUUGUUUUUGCAAUAGGAACAACUGUGGUUACCUCACUGCUCUGGCUUUGUGCUGACGGAGGGCACUGGGGAGAGAUCCAUCACUGCUGAUGUUGAGGCUUUGCUGAUAACCUCUGCCCGGGGCUGGGUGAAGCUACAAACGCUGCCCAGUCUUCGGAGGUACAGGACCAGUCUGUCAGGCUGUUGGCGCACAACAACAAUUGUUUUAUUGUCAGAGGAUCGUGGUCAUCUGCAAGGAAUCAGUUUUCAAAGAAGCAUUUGAUGGACUGACACCCACUGGAGCUGGGGACAAGAUGGAAUGCACCGAUUCAAAGCGGAUUAGGACUUUCUGUUCCGGAAAUCAAGUGAGUUUUGAAGAGGCUGAUGAAGCUGGAUUUCAAAACUAUCAAUCUGGUUUUCAAAGUGUGUUGGGAUUCAGACUGGCAAUAGCAAAAUGGGGUUUUUACACCACAGAGUGGUCACCCCUAUUUGACAACAGUGGAAAACUGUGGCUGUUCAAUAGCUGUUGAUGAUUCUUUUACAAGGGACUAAAGUGAAGCCUACUGAGUGACACGGGGCAUUGCUCUCAUCAUGGGAUGUAUGUUUCCAAGGUAUCUGCUCUGCAAGGGUCACAGCCAGGUGAGCACUGAAAGCCAUGGGAGAGUGUGGCAUGUUUUGUAGAGAGGGCAGCAGUAAGGAGAAAUGCUACAUAUAUCAGACAAAUCAUCUCUUCUUUCAUUGAACAACUCCAGUCAUGACCUCUGAUCCUGUUGGUAAAAGCUCUGAAUUUAGUUUCUACUGUCCCCCACCCAAUAUUUCUUGUGCAUUUGUUAUAUAGCUUCCUGCAAUCUCAUUUAUUGCUCUCCAGAGCUUACAGAAUGUGUGCUUCCUGCAAAAUUCAGUUUAUAUUUUUGCCAUUAACUAUAGAUACUCUUUUUACACUCUAAGUGUUUACACGCUUAGAAAACUUUCAGUAUUAAGUUUCAGUAUGUUAACGUGAAAAAAACUGGAAAGAAACUAUUUCUUGUUUGGAAUUGAUCAGGUUCUCAGCUGAAUGCUUGCACUUCAGGUUGUUGGAAUUACCGAGGCAGCUCUUGCAUUUUCCAUUGGUUGUACUGUUCUGCGUAUCCAGGUUCAGAAGCAGCAAA